UACGGAGGGAGCUAGCGUUGUUCGGAAUUACUGGGCGUAAAGCGCACGUAGGCGGCUUUGUAAGUUAGAGGUGAAAGCCCGGGGCUCAACUCCGGAACUGCCUUUAAGACUGCAUCGCUUGAAUCCGGGAGAGGUGAGUGGAAUUCCGAGUGUAGAGGUGAAAUUCGUAGAUAUUCGGAAGAACACCAGUGGCGAAGGCGCUGCUCUGGGCCGGUACUGACGCUGAGGAGCGAAAGCGUGGGUAGCAAACAGG
rnacentral:rRNA from 1 species